GGGCAAGUGGCGAAAUCGGUAUACGCAUCACACUCAAAAUGUGACGACUUAUGUCAUGAGGGUUCAAGUCCCUCCUUGCCCA
rnacentral:tRNA from 1 species